ACAAAUUCUGCUCGCUCGUUCGCUCGGUUCGUGUUUUAAAGAUAAAUGUGACUUUACUGCGGUCUUUUUCGCUUUAUUUAGUUUUGUGUUAAUUAUAUCCACAAAGUAUUCAAAUAAAUUGGUAAUGUAAAACUAUUCUCCGCUGUAAAUUAAUUGUGUGCUCAACUGCGACGCCCUGUGUUGAAUUUUCCCGCGGAAAACAUGAACCAUUGCUGACUGAAUUGUUUGACAAAGGCGUCUUACUGGAGUACAGUAUCAUUACUGAGGGGAAAUAUAACAUUAUUCAUUUAAUUCCACAAAAGGCCUGAGGCAACGUGAAACAUUGCUGAGGGAGAACUUCAUUCACAACAAAAGGAUAAAGAUGAAGAGGCGGGACUUGAGCAGCUUGUGAUGGCUGUAAUUGUAAAGAAUGGAUUUUCUAGGAGUGGAAGCCCAAAGGAUGCUGGGAUUGUUAUCGAGGCCUUAAAGGUGUUCCCAGGACAGGCUUUAUCCUCACUGGAUUGGAUUGGAUCUAUGCAUUGAAUCUCCAGUAUCCCAGGCAUCUUUUCAGGUGUUUCAGAAACUUUUCUUGGAGCUGGAUUCUUCAAAGUUUAUAAACUGAUUACAGUACAGUAAGUCUAAACUGCUGUCUGAUUUUCUGGGUGUGAAUCAAUGUAACAGAACACAAACAUGGAACCUUUCGUCGGGAAAUGUGGACAGUUUUCUUUAAAGACUGUAAAAUACUUUUUGAAUUGUACACUGUUACAAAUACACUAUUAAAAAUUAGAUGCUUUCCUGUUCUUUUGACUGCAAUAAAAUAAGAAUUGAUUCAUCUUUGUCUGUCAUUCUGAAAUCAGAUAUAAUACUCAUUACUAAUAAUAAUAUUAAUGGAUGAUGUUAAAUUAAAAUAGUAUAAUUGAAUAGUAUUUAUUGUAUAGUGCUAGGUCUUUGUCCUGUAUACCCAAUAUUUUGUUUAAAUUUAAAUUAAUUUCUAAUUGCAAAUUGCAGAUUACCUUUUUGAAUGGGUUACUAUUAAAGAGUUUAUGGAGUGAUUCUAACUCAAUUUUUAUUUGUUGAAUUUAAUUAAUG